rnacentral:rRNA from 1 species
CGGGACGGGGUGGAGUAAUGUCUGGGAAACGUGCCCGGAUGGAGGGGGAUAACUACUGGAAACGGUAGCUAUACCGCAUAACGUCGCAAGACCAAAGAGGGGGACCUUAGGGCCUCUUGCCAUCGGAUGUGCCCAGAUGGGAUUAGCUAGUAGGUGGGGUAAUGGCUCACCUAGGCGACGAUCCCUAGCUGGUCUGAGAGGAUGACCAGCCACACUGGAACUGAGACACGGUCCAG